AAGUCGUAACAAGGUUUCCGUAGGUGAACCUGCGGAAGGAUCAUUACAUUCAGUAGCCUAGCUACUUGUUUAUACCCUUGUUUUUUGCGUACUAUUGUUUCCUCGGCGGGCUUGCCUGUCGGUUGGACAAAACUAUAACCUUUUUUAAAUCUUCAAUCAGCGUCUGAAUUAUACAUAAUAAUUACAACUUUCAACAACGGAUCUCUUGGUUCUG
rnacentral:misc_RNA from 1 species